GAGGGAUAGUCAUACAGUACUUCUGAGUACCCUUCCUGUGAGUUUUUGAAGGUUCUAGAAGUCGCCAGAAGAUGGUCAAAAGCAGAAGAGAAGUCAUCAGGUACAAGAGGCAGAGAACAUCUUUGCCGUUACUACAUCGUAUAUGCUUAGGAUGAAAACAACUUCCUGGCAAAACACUAAAAGGGGGAGUGGCUUAUUUACCAGAGGGUCAGGCUGCCACCCAGAGGGUCUGCAACAGGCUGGAGAAUUAGGCACACAGAAACCUCAUGAAGUUCAACAAGGAGAAGUGCGAAAUCCUGCAUUUGGGGAGAAACAUCCCCAGGCACCAGGAGAUGCUAGGGACCACCAACUGGAAAGCAGCUUUUCAGAAAAGGACCUGGGGAUCUUGGUGGGCACAAACUUGAACAUGAACCAGCAAUGUGGCCUUGCUGGUAACAAGUCUGAUGGAAUUCUUGCCUGCCUUAGGCAAAUUGUUGCCAGCAGGUCAAGACAGGG